rnacentral:rRNA from 2 species
CUUGGCGAUUGGAGCGGAUUGGCACCACCUCUUCCCAUUCCGAACAGAGUCGUGAAACGAUCCAGCGCUGAUGAUACUACCUGAUUAUUUGGGUGGGAAAGUAAGUCGUCGCCAGGA